GACGAACGCUGGCGGCGUGCCUAACACAUGCAAGUCGAACGGAGUGAUGAUUUCGGUUAUCACUUAGUGGCGAACGGGUGAGUAACGCGUGAGAAACCUGCCUUUCAGUGGGGGACAACAGUUGGAAACGACUGCUAAUACCGCAUAAUGUCAUUUGGGGGCAUCCCUGGAUGACCAAAGAUUUAUUGCUGAAAGAUGGUCUCGCGUCUGAUUAGCUGGUUGGUGGGGUAACGGCCUACCAAGUCAACGAUCAGUAGCCGGUCUGAGAGGAUGAACGGCCACAUUGGGACUGAGAUACGGCCCAG
rnacentral:rRNA from 1 species